CGGGACACCUAAACGUGCAGUCGACGGCAGCACGAGAGAGCUUGCUCUCUUGGUGGCGAGUGGCGGACGGGUGAGUAAUACAUCGGAAUCUACCCUGUCGUGGGGGAUAACGUAGGGAAACUUACGCUAAUACCGCAUACGACCUACGGGUGAAAGCAGGGGAUCUUCGGACCUUGCGCGAUUGGAUGAGCCGAUGUCGGAUUAGCUAGUUGGCGGGGUAAAGGCCCACCAAGGCGACGAUCCGUAGCUGGUCUGAGAGGAUGAUCAGCCACACUGGAACUGAGACACGGUCCAGACUCCUACGGGAGGCAGCAGUGGGGAAUAUUGGACAAUGGGCGCAAGCCUGAUCCAGCCAUGCCGCGUGGGUGAAGAAGGCCUUCGGGUUGUAAAGCCCUUUUGUUGGGAAAGAAAAGCAUUCGGUUAAUACCCGAGUGUUCUGACGGUACCCAAAGAAUAAGCACCGGCUAACUUCGUGCCAGCAGCCGCGGUAAUACGAAGGGUGCAAGCGUUACUCGGAAUUACUGGGCGUAAAGCGUGCGUAGGUGGUUUGUUAAGUCUGAUGUGAAAGCCCUGGGCUCAACCUGGGAAUUGCAUUGGAUACUGGCAGGCUAGAGUGCGGUAGAGGGUAGUGGAAUUCCCGGUGUAGCAGUGAAAUGCGUAGAGAUCGGGAGGAACAUCCGUGGCGAAAGCGACUACCUGUACCAGCACUGACACUGAGGCACGAAAGCGUGGGGAGCAAACAGGAUUAGAUAUCCCUGUUAGUCCACUCCCUAAAUGAUGCGAACUGGAUGUUGGGUUCACUUUGUAACUCAUUAUCGAAGCUAACUCUUAAGUUCGCCGCCUGGGGAGGACGGUCGCGGGACUGAGACUUGAUUUUAUUGAUAGGUGCCCGCACCAGCUC
rnacentral:rRNA from 1 species